UCGGUGGCGUCUCCCUCCGCAAUCCCCAUUCCCCACCUCCUCGGCCUGGUCCCCACACGCGGCGCGGCGCGGCGGGCAUGGAGGUCGACGACCCGUCGCCGCGCGGCGGGGACGGGGGCGGGGCCCCGCCCCGCAUCGGUGGUGAACCGCAUCGCCGCGGGGGAGGUGAUCCAGCGGCCGCCGUCGGCGGUGAAGGAGCUCGUCGAGAAAAGCAUCGAUGCCGGCGCCUCCACCGUCUCCGUCACCGAAGGAUGGCGGCCUCAAGCUCAUCCAGGUCUCCGACGACGGCCACGGCAUCCGGUGCGUACAGGGUCAUGUGGAGGCGAAUGAUUGGGAAUUUUGGUCUUGGUGAUUUUCUACACUGGAUCUGUCUGAUUGUUCCGACUCAGGCAGUAAAAUACUGCAUAGGGGCUGCUAUGCCAUGGGCAAAUGAGGGCACACCUAUAUUAACAGGCCAUUUGAGAUUGUUAGUGCUGAUUGCCUUUAGGCAUCAUGUAGUUGUCUGCAUAUGAGGACCUACAAACAAUAAAGUCCAUGGGGUUCAGAAGGGAGGCUUUGGCCAGUUUGACUUAUGUUGGCCAUGUUACCGUGACAACAAUAACAGAAGGCCAAUUGCAUGGCUACAGAGUUUCUUAUAGGGAUGGAGUAAUGGAGAAUGACCCGAAGCCCUGUUCUGCGGUUAAAGGAACUCAAGUCAUGGUUGAAAAUUUAUUUUACAAUAUGGUAGGAAAACACUGCAGAACUCCAGUGAUGACUAUCCAAAGAUAGUGGACUUCAUCAGUCAGUUUACGGUCCAUCACAUCAAUGUGAACUUCUCUUGCAGAAAGCAUGGAAUCAAUAGAGCAGAUGUUCACAGUGGGAGCAUGUCUUCAAGGCUAGAUGCUAUUAGGAAUGUCUAUGGGGCUUCGGUUGUUCGCGAUCUGGUGGUAAUACAUGUUUCAGAUGAGAUGCUGUAGAUGAAAUAUUCAAGAUGGAUGGUUUCAUCUCAAAUGCAAAUUAUGUGGUAAAAAAAACUACUAUGAUUCUUUUCAUAAAUGGUAUACAAAUUACAAGGCACUAGUAAAUUUUUAGAGCCUUUUCCUCCAUAAGUAAAUUCUGUUGAUUUCAUAUGCACUAAAAUGUACUGCGAUGUCCAUGUAGAUACACAUGUUCAGAACUUCAGAUGCUAUGUACUCUGAUCAGAGUAAUCUGGCCGCAUCUUGUUCAUAUAUUUUCGAUGAACAAGGGGAUAUCUUUUAAAGAAUAAUUUUGUAAUACCAACAAUGUUUUAAAUGAUGCAUCCACUGUGAUUGAACUGUUAUGUAUUUUCUGUCAGUGAAUUAGUAAAGUAUAGUUUCUCUAUUAUCAUGGCUGUGCCUAGUUUGCUUUAUCCCAUAACUGUCCAUAUCUCCUCUUCAGAUAGACUUGUAGACUGCACUUCUUUGAAAAGGGCAACUGAAUUUAUGUAAUCUGCAAUACUGCCUCAAGCAUCCAAACCCUUCAUAUACUAUUGAGAAAAAAAUUUAAAGAUGCUAUUGAGGAAAAACUGAUGAACUGUAAUAACACAAGGAUAUUCCAAACUCAGGUUAUUCAAUUGUUUAAUUUACACUUACACAAACCCAAAGAUAGUUUUUUGUUGUUGUGUCUCAUCACAGUUGAUAUGGUGCGGCAAUUGCCAGAGAUCCUUCAUUGACCAUCUGGCAUCAAAAUUGACUGGGUUGCGCUUGGUCAUAUUCUUCAUACUAUUUCAACUGCAGCAAAGUUCAGGGAUAAUACUGCCUCGUGCUCCAUAAUUGACCAUCUGGCAUCAAAAUUGAUGGCAUUAACAAACACUAACUGUCUUCCGAGUAUAAAAAAGGAUACCCUAGAUGAUAUGUUCUUCUGGGACACCCGAAGGCGGACAAUGUUUUAUAUUCAUGAGAUCCCUAAAGCGCUGAACGAUGAUGAUUUUGUGACAAGGGUGGAGAACCAUGCGUGGACACUACCAUGGGACAGUAAGCAUUUUGGACUCGUAAAGGCCAUGAACGACUAUUGUGAAGAAGUUGCGAUAAGAGAGCAACACAAUGGAGUUAAACCAGGUCCAGAAGUUCUGAAACAAUGUCAUUACAAUGGAAACGAUCCAGUUCACAAUGUACAGUGUAUGAGCGGAGCUUACACUCACCAAGACAAAAUAGA